UGUUAUCUCAAUUCUUUUUGCAACUGUAGAUGCUUGCAGGCAGGGAUUCUUAGCUGUCCCCACAUCCUUCUCCUACCCGAGUCCAUGCAAGGAAACACUGAUCCAGCGACAUGACUAGGUUGAUUGAAGCUGGCUCCUUGCCAAGUUGCCAUGGCGAAGCUGUGAUGUGGGAUGGCGCCAUGGCAGUGGUACUCCAUCCCAAAGCCAAGAUGCAAGAAGGACCACUCAAUAUUUCGUCAGAGAGCGAAUGCCUUCUCCACUUCUGCCAAUGCUACCGCUGGGAAAACGGCUGAUGACAACGUGCAUGAAGAUGCCCCAAAGAAGGACAUCGAUGAUCAGAUAGCAGAUAUUCAGAUCCUUCAAAACCUUUGGAAGUACUUAAGGAUGAACAAUAGCCGUGAUUUCAACAUCAGGAUUGUGUUGUUAUUGGGUAUCUUAGUCGGCGCGAAGGUAGAUGUUACUGGUCGAAAUUGUUACCUAUACAAAUAUUGUUCGAGCUAAAAUAAUGCAACCCACUUUUGUUAGCAAA